CUACUGUGAUGCCUGUGUAGCACAACAUUGUAUGCUCUACCACUACAGUUAAUUCCAUAUUACCUCAGUUUGUUAGCAGCUACUAGAAAAAUAAAUGAGCCAGUAUUUAUGAAAUUGGUUGUCAGCGGACGAACAAUGAAGUUGUGUUGAAGAUUGUAAUCUUGUUGAUGCAGGAUGAUUGUCACUAACAUUGAGAGCAAGAGUGUUUUUGAUUAUUGUCAGGAUCUCAAAUACUCUGUGCAUCUUGAUAAACUGACUGUUAAGAAAUGCAUUUUGGUCAGAAUCUGGCUCGACAUGACAAUCUGUCAGCAUGAAUGCUGCUCAGGGUGAAGUGUGUGAUGUUUGGUUUGACUCAGCUCUCAGCUCAGUUGUGAAAGUGUACGUGUAAUCGGUGAUGGUGUUGUUUUGGAUUACAGCAAGUUGAGAGGCUUUUCGAAGAUUUUCCACUUACGUGUGGGUAAACACACACACACACACACACACACACACAC